rnacentral:lncRNA from 10 species
GCGGGCGCCCCUCCCCCAGACUCGCUGACGCCUUGCAGUUUGAUCUCAGACUGCUGUGCUAGCAAUCAGCGAGACUCCGUGGGCGUAGGACCCUCUGAGCCAGGUGCGAGAUAUAAUCUGGUGGUGCACCAUUUUUUAAGCCCGUCGGAAAAGCGCAGUAUUCAGGUGGGAGUGACCCGAUUUUCCAGGUGCCCUCCGUUACCCCUUUCUUUGACUCGGAAAGGGAACUCCCUGACCCCUUGCGCUUCCCAAGUGAGGCAACGCCUCGCCCUGCUUCGGCUCGCGCACGGUGCGCGCACCCACUGACUUGCGCCCACUGUCUGGCACUCCCUAGUGAGAUGAACCCAGUACCUCAGAUGGAAAUGCAGAAAUCACCCGUCUUCUGCGUCGCUCACGCUGGGAGCUGUAGACCGGAGCUGUUCCUAUUCGGCCAUCUUGACUCCUCUCUGCCGGACUUUUCUUUAAGAAAAUCUUCUGCCACUGUUAUAAAAGACAGCAAGAUCAAUCACUCCUCUUCCACAUCCUCUUACUGUGAAGAUAAUAAGGUUGAAGACCUUGAUGAUGAUCUACUUUCACUUGAACAGC